rnacentral:tRNA from 1 species
AGAAAAGCCCCUGCUUGUAGUCAGUGAAAAGGAGCUCCUUGAUAGGGAGAAUUAUGAGGGUUAAAAUCCCCCCACUUCCU